GACGAACGCUGGCGGCGUGCUUAACACAUGCAAGUCGAACGGAAAGGCCUCUUUCGGGGGGUACGUCGAGUGGCGAACGGGUGGUGUAACACGUGAGUAACCUGCCCUUGACUUUGGGUAGUAACUUCAGGAAACUGGGGCGUAAUACCGGAUAGGAGCUCCUGCUGCAUGGUGGGGGUUGGAAAGUUUCGGCGGUUGGGGAGUGGACUCGCGGCUUAUCAGCUUGUUGGUGGGGUAGUGGCUUACCAAGGCUUUGACGGGUAGCCGGCCUGAGAGGGUGACCGGCCACAUUGGGACUGAGAUACGGCCCAGACUCCUACGGGAGGCAGCAGUGGGGAAUAUUGCACAAUGGGUGGAAGCCUGAUGCAGCAACGCCGUGUGCGGGAUGACGGCCUUC
rnacentral:rRNA from 1 species